GAUGAACGCUAGCUACAGGCUUAACACAUGCAAGUCGAGGGGAAACGGCAUUGAGUGCUUGCACUCUUUGGACGUCGACCGGCGCACGGGUGAGUAACGCGUAUCCAACCUUCCCAUUACUGUGGGAUAACCUGCCGAAAGGCAGACUAAUACCGCAUAGUCUUCGAUGACGGCAUCAGAUUUGAAGUAAAGAUUUAUCGGUAAUGGAUGGGGAUGCGUCUGAUUAGCUUGUUGGCGGGGUAACGGCCCACCAAGGCUACGAUCAGUAGGGGUUCUGAGAGGAAGGUCCCCCACAUUGGAACUGAGGCACGGUCCAAACUGCUACGGGAGGCAGCAGUGAGGAAUAUUAGGCGAUGGACGGAAGUCUGAACCAGCCAAGUAGCGUGCAGGAUGACGGCCCUAUGGGUUGUAAACUGCUGUUGUAUGGGGAUAAAGUUAGGGACGUGUCCCUAUUUGCAGGUACCAUACGAAUAAGGACCGGCUAAUUCCGUG
rnacentral:rRNA from 1 species